GACGAACGCUGGCGGCGUGCUUAACACAUGCAAGUCGAACGGUGAAGCGCCUUCCUUUUUGGUGGGUGUGGAUGAGUGGCGAACGGGUGGGUAACACGUUAGUAACCUGCCCCCUUCUUCUGGAUAACCGCAUGAAAGUGUCGCUAAUACGGGAUAUUCUGUGUCUGUCGCAUGAUGGGUCUGUGGAAGAUUUUGUUUCGGUGGGGGAUGGGCUCGCGGCCUAUCAGCUUGUUGGUGGGGUGAUGGCCUACCAAGGCGGUGACGGGUAGCCGGCCUGAGAGGGUGGACGGCAACAGAGGGGAGGAGACGCGGACAAGACUCCUACGGGAGGCAGCAGGGGGGAAUAGUGAACAAUGGGAGGAAGGCUGAUGCAGCGACGCCGCGGGGGGGAUGGAGGCCUGCGGGUUGUGAACCUCUUUCGGGAGAGAAGCGGGCCUGCCUCGUUUGUGGGUGGGUUGACGGUAGCUGGAUAAGAAGCGCCGGCUAACUACGUG
rnacentral:rRNA from 1 species